rnacentral:rRNA from 1 species
GACGAACGCUGGCGGCGUGCUUAACACAUGCAAGUCGAACGGAAAGGCCCUGCUUUUGUGGGGUGCUCGAGUGGCGAACGGGUGAGUAACACGUGAGUAACCUGCCCUUGACUUUGGGAUAACUUCAGGAAACUGGGGCUAAUACCGGAUAGGAGCUCCUGCUGCAUGGUGGGGGUUGGAAAGUUUCGGCGGUUGGGGAUGGACUCGCGGCUUAUCAGCUUGUUGGUGGGGUAGUGGCUUACCAAGGCUUUGACGGGUAGCCGGCCUGAGAGGGUGACCGGCCACAUUGGGACUGAGAUACGGCCCAGACUCCUACGGGAGGCAGCAGUGGGGAAUAUUGCACAAUGGGCGGAAGCCUGAUGCAGCAACGCCGCGUGCGGGAUGACGGCCUUCGGGUUGUAAACCGCUUUCGCCUGUGACGAAGCGUGAGUGACGGUAAUGGGUAAAGAAGCACCGCCUAACUACGUG